rnacentral:rRNA from 1 species
AUUGAACGCUGGCGGCAGGCCUAACACAUGCAAGUCGAACGAGUGGCGGACGGGUGAGUAAUGUCUGGGAAACUGCCCGAUGGAGGGGGAUAACUACUGGAAACGGUAGCUAAUACCGCAUACCAUCCGAUGUGCCCAGAUGGGAUUAGCUUGUUGGUGGGGUAACGGCUCACCUAGGCGACGAUCCCUAGCUGGUCUGAGAGGAUGACCAGGCCCCACGGAACCGGACACAGGUCCCACUCCCUACCGGAGGCCGGAUGGGGGAAUAUUGGCACAUGGGCGGAAGCCUGAAGCCACCCUGCCCGGUUGUAGAAAGAGGCCUUCGGGUUUUAAAGUCCUUUCCGCGGGGGGGCCUUACCCGCCGAAAAAGCCCCGGCUAACUCCGUGCCAGCAGCCGCCGUAAUUC